UCCGAAAUGGUUUUGUCGUUGAGUU
rnacentral:piRNA from 1 species